rnacentral:tRNA from 1 species
GGGGCUGUGGCUCAGUGGUGGAGCACUUGCCUUGCACGUGUGAGGCCCUGGGUUCAAUCCUCAGUUCCA